UUAUGCCUGGGGGAGGUUCCCCAGAAAAGUACAACUACUUUACAUGCUGUGCAGUAGUAGAAAUUAGAAUCUAGCUCUUUCUCAAAAACAACAGAAUAGCACAAAAGGAGAUGUGGGCUUUGAAGAGAAACAAGCCUUGACUGAGUCCAGUGGAUAAAGAAUACAUAUGCUAUCCUGGGCCCAGGAAGCCUGUCCCCCGUGGGACCAGGAUUAGAUUAACAACAUUCCACAUUCUGGCUGGAACAUUAGGGGUUCUAAGAUUCUGUUAAUUAUGCUGGGGUCCGGGGCUCAGAAGGGCCAGCCUCAAGACCCAGGGCUGUGAUGGGAUGGGUCAUAGUCCUUGAGGAGGGACCACUUGUCUAAUCAGUACCAGUGACUUCCACAUUUGCUGGGCUGAGCAGCCAUGUCCUGGAUGCGGGCAUGGGGCCAACUCUUCCUGCCAGUUUUCCUCUCCUUGUUUCUCAUCCAACUGCUUUUCCACUUCUCAGAUAAUGGCUUUUCCCACAUCUUCAGUCCGAGGAACAAGCAGAAAAGAAAGAGUGAGAUUGAGGAGGCAUGUGCUCAAAAGAGAAACUGUCAGUUGUGCACAGAAGAUAAGAAAUGUAUUUGGUGCAGUGAAGAACGCACUUGCAAAAAAUACUGCUUUCCAUAUUAUGGCUGUAGUAUUAGUUCUGUAUACUGGAAAAACUGUCGUGUUGACAUGUUUGGAGUCAUAAUGCUGGCACUUGUUGCAAUAUUAACAACAGCAUUGUUGUGGAUUUGCUGUGCCUUUUACUUUUACAUGAAUGAACGUCAAGUCUAUCUAUAUGGAAGACGCGAAAGAACUACUGUUGGCGGGUGGAAUCCUGAAUUUGAUGAAUAGAUGAUGGAAAAGACAGAUCUCUGGAAGGACAAGGAGAGAUUUUCUUCAGUGGAUUCUUUCAGGAUUUCAACCAUCCUUACAGUCUCUUGGAGAAAGAUUGACCUUCCAAAUUCCCUCGUUAAAUUUUAAAAUUCUAUUGAAAGUUUGUAAAGUAUUUCAUUACUUUUACAUUAUGACUUGUAUGGUAAUUUGAGCUCACAUGAGUGGGAAGAGCUUUUCAAACAAGAUUUUAUGGUUGGUGAAAAGUUUUUUUUAAAAAACCUUGUGAACAAUGUCCUUUCUACCUAGUUUUCCAAUCUUCAUAUUCUCCCCUAUGAACAGAAGGUGAAAUAAAUAUAGUAUUCAAGCACCUGACAUACCAAUUUAUAAUGGCUUGAGGCCUGGAGGCUAUACCCUAUGACUGUGUCUGAAAUUAUUUUCUCAUCAUUGUUAUUGGGCAACAAAUAAAUACUCUAAUUUUGUUUGCAUUUGUUAUUACAAAAGCACUCCACUAUUCAAAAGCUUUCCUACA
rnacentral:lncRNA from 1 species